UAUUCGGGAAACUCUCUAUUGUUCUCGAAAUUGCAAGUGGUUUUUUGUGUUGCGUGAAGUGAAUUCUGGAAAAUAUUUUUUAUGGAUUCUGAACAACAUGGACGGUCCCGUUGUUCGCAUUUUUUAAGUAUUUGCUUCCUCGCCAGUGCUAUGUUCAAACAUAAAAAAUUUGUUGGCGUUUCCUGCCCAAAUGGCUGUAAAGAAGGGUCUCAACAUAUUCCGGUUAGUGCUAAAAAUCCUUUUGGAGUUGUUACACAAACGAAAGAAUAUAAUAUUGGCAAUGAUGCCCCUGACGACGCGAGGUUGCUACUGCAUCGACAUGCCGUUUGUAAAACAUUGCCCAUUCAAUGACUAGGAUUCGAUACAAUCAUCGAUGUGAGCAUGUACUACAUAAUAUUAUACUUAUUUAAGAUAAUUGUGCGAAAGUAAGACUUUAAUAACGUUAUUUAUUUAAUAAUUUACGUUAAUGUAAAAUAAGGAUAGUAAUUUUGCAGGAAUGUGGCUAUAAGUAGUACAUAAAUAUAACCAAUUCUAAGUACAAAAGGAAUUUCCAUAUAACAAUUGUAAAUGAUUGAUUUUACCCAAAAUUCUUUUAUUAAUAUUAUAUUACAGCUUUUAUCUAUUUACUUAUAUACACCACGCAAACCUUACCACUACACCUUCUUAAUUUUUUUUUCAGUCAUUUAAUUUCAUUUACACUAUAAUUGAAAUUAAUAUUUUAUUUUAUUGCUUUUGUGUAAGCACAGAAAAGCUAAUUUGUAUU